rnacentral:lncRNA from 1 species
GUCUCUUUUAUUUUUUUUGAAACGGAGUCUCGAUCUGUCACCCAGGCUGGAGUGCAGUGGCACAAUCUCGGCUCACUGCAACCUCCGCCUCCCGGGUUCAAGCGAUUCUCCUGCCUCAGCCUACUGAGUAGCUGGGAUUACAGGCGCCCGCCACCAUGCCUGACUAAUUUUUGUAUUUUUAGUAGAGACGUAGAGACAGGGUUUCACCACGUUGGCCAGGCUUGUCUUGAACUUCUGACGUCGUGAUCCACCCGCCUCAGCCUUCCAAAGUGCUGCAAUUAUAGACAUGAACCACCGCGCCUGGCCACAAGCUGUCUCUUCAUGUUCUCUACAUACAAUGGCAAAGAUCUUAAUUGGAAAUCGAACCUUCUAAUCUUCCAGGUGGACAUUGGAGCAUCACCCAGGCCCCUGCUUCAGCACUGAGGCUUUCCUCACCUCAGCUGCUGAGAAGGUUGGAGGAUGACAUCUCUAAGCUGAGUUCUUUCAGGAAAUUGCCCCCUGCAAAUACAGCCACCUCAGCCAAGGGAGUUGCUGCAUUCCGAAGUAGGACUGAAGGCGCUUGCCCUGGUCCCAGCUGUUUUCAUGGAGUUCCAAAUAUGUGCUGAACUUCCUGCCAGUGGAGGGGUAGGAGGUCAGAAGAGGAAGGGCCAACCACAUCCCAUGUCCAACACAAGCUUUAAAAGUCACACUGGGCCGGGCAUGGUGGCUCAUGCCUGUAAUCCUAGCACUUUGGGAAGCUGAGGCAGGCGGAUCAGGCAGACAAGUUCGGACAAGGCGGGCAGACAAGGUCAGGAGAUCGAGACCAUCCUGGCUAACACAGUGAAACCCCGUCUCUACUAAAAGUACAAAAAAUUAGCCGGGAGUGGUGGUGG